rnacentral:rRNA from 1 species
GAUGAACGCUGGCGGCGUGCCUAAUACAUGCAAGCCGAGCGAACAGAUGAGGAGCUUGCUCCUCUGACGUUAGCGGCGGACGGGUGAGUAACACGUGGAUAACCUACCUAUAAGACUGGGAUAACUUCGGGAAACCGGAGCUAAUACCGGAUAAUAUAUUGAACCGCAUGGUUCAAUAGUGAAAGACGGUUUUGCUGUCACUUAUAGAUGGAUCCGCGCCGCAUUAGCUAGUUGGUAAGGUAACGGCUUACCAAGGCAACGAUGCGUAGCCGACCUGAGAGGGUGAUCGGCCACACUGGAACUGAGACACGGUCCAGACUCCUACGGGAGGCAGCAGGAGGGAAUCUUCCGCAAUGGGCGAAAGCCUGACGGAGCAACGCCGCGUGAGUGAUGAAGGUCUGCGGAUCGUAAAACUCUGUAUUAGGGAAGAACAAAUGUGUAAGUAACUAUGCACGUCUUGACGGUACCUAAUCAGAAAGCCACGGCUAACUACGUG